rnacentral:rRNA from 1 species
UACAGAGGUGGCAAGCGUUGCUCGGAAUCACUGGGCGUAAAGGGUGCGUAGGCGGGUCUUUAAGUCAGGGGUGAAAUCCUGGAGCUCAACUCCAGAACUGCCUUUGAUACUGAGGAUCUUGAGUUCGGGAGAGGUGAGUGGAACUGCGAGUGUAGAGGUGAAAUUCGUAGAUAUUCGCAAGAACACCAGUGGCGAAGGCGGCUCACUGGCCCGAUACUGACGCUGAGGCACGAAAGCGUGGGGAGCAAACAGG